UCCGCAUUAGUGUAGGGGUUAACAUACACCGCUUUCAACACCAUAAGGAGCCGGUGAGCCCCGGGUUCGAUUCCCGGAUGCGGAA
rnacentral:tRNA from 1 species